GAUGAACGCUGGCGGCGUGCCUAAUACAUGCAAGUCGAGCGAACAGAUAAGGAGCUUGCUCCUUUGACGUUAGCGGCGGACGGGUGAGUAACACGUGGGUAACCUACCUAUAAGACUGGAAUAAAUCCGGGAAACCGGGGCUAAUGCCGGAUAACAUGUUGAACCGCAUGGUUCUACAGUGAAAGGCGGCUUUGCUGUCACUUAUAGAUGGACCCGCGCCGUAUUAGCUAGUUGGUGAGGUAACGGCUCACCAAGGCAACGAUACGUAGCCGACCUGAGAGGGUGAUAGGCCACACUGGAACUGAGACAAGGUCCAGACUCCUACGGGAGGCAGCAGUAGGGAAUCUUCCGCAAUGGGAGAAAGCCUGACGGAGCAACGCCGCGUGAGUGAUGAAGGUCUUAGGAUCGUAAAACUCUGUUAUUCGGGAAGAACAAAUGCGUAAGUAACUGUGCGCGUCUUGACGGUACCUAAUCAGAAAGCCACGGCUAACUACGUG
rnacentral:rRNA from 1 species